GCUCUUUUGGUUUAGCGGCGGACGGGUGAGUAACACGUGGGCAACCUGCCCUGCAGAUCGGGAUAACUCCGGGAAACCGGUGCUAAUACCGAAUAGUUUGGCGCCUCUCCUGAGGCGCUACGGAAAGACGGCAUCUCGCUGUCACUGCAGGAUGGGCCCGCGGCGCAUUAGCUAGUUGGUGGGGUAACGGCCCACCAAGGCGACGAUGCGUAGCCGACCUGAGAGGGUGAUCGGCCACACUGGGACUGAGACACGGCCCAGACUCCUACGGGAGGCAGCAGUAGGGAAUCUUCCGCAAUGGACGCAAGUCUGACGGAGCAACGCCGCGUGAGUGACGAAGGUUUUCGGAUCGUAAAACUCUGUUGUGAGGGAAGAAACCGUGCCAACUAACUACUGGCACCUUGACGGUACCUCACCAGAAAGCCACGGCUAACUACGUGCCAGCAGCCGCGGUAAUACGUAGGUGGCAAGCGUUGUCCGGAAUUAUUGGGCGUAAAGCGCGCGCAGGCGGUCCUUUAAGUCUGAUGUGAAAGCCCACGGCUCAACCGUGGAGGGUCAUUGGAAACUGGAGGACUUGAGUGCAGAAGAGGAAAGUGGAAUUCCACGUGUAGCGGUGAAAUGCGUAGAGAUGUGGAGGAACACCAGUGGCGAAGGCGACUUUCUGGUCUGUAACUGACGCUGAGGCGCG
rnacentral:rRNA from 1 species